UUGAACCAUCGACUCACACAUUGGCCCAUUGAGUGAGUGAACAAAGCACCCACGUCGAACCGCCCGGCUACCGACUGAUGAAGAAGAAGAUUGUUGAAGAAGUUGAAAUUGGAAGUAAUUAAAAAAUCUUUAGACAAGUGAACGAAAACUCGGAAGAUCACGUAAAAUAUUACAUUAUGAUGUUGUAUAGUGACCGUGUUGCGGUUUUGUGAACUGUUCAAUGAAAAUCAAAGUGUUUCACUAUACAAUAGCUUCAUCGGGAAGCUAUUGUAUAGUGACGUGUUGCGGUUUUAUAAACUGUUAAGUGAAAACCUCCCAAAGUGUUACUCGAAUAUAUUUUCUUAGUAACUCUACUCAAAAUGAAAAUACUUGAAAUUUAUUUUCUUGCAGGACAAUAGCUGGGUGCGGUUGAAUUUUUUGUUUUAAGACAAUUGUCCAUAAGAUCAAAUGCACUGUUAGAAACAUCUAUAUGAAGAUGAAUUUCAAAAUUUGCUUUCGAUUUUUUUCUCCAAACACAUUGGCAUGCAACAGAAACUUCUUUUUGAAGGACUCUGUAAAAGUGACAAAAGAAGAGUAACUUUUUAAUUUCAACUGUGGCAUAAACUUGUCAGUUCUAUCACUCUGAAACUGGAAUGUGAUGCUUCCAUAUUUUUCAACCAAUCCUAAAGCAGAUAUUUCAAUCUAAAACUACAAACAGAUGAGGACUACGGACUACUAGGACUACGGUCGAUUUCAACUCCAAAGACAGCAAUAGAUUUCAGUUCUUGAUUUUCAUAUCCAAGACAGCAAUGAAUUUAGGCCCCAAAGGAAGCGAUAGAUCCAAACUUUAAAGGCAGGGAUGGAUUCAAAACUACAAAGAUGGCGAUGGAUUUCAGUCCAAAGGGCAUUUUAGGAUUUCAACCCCAAAGGCAGCGAUGCAUUUAAACCCCAAAGAAGGAGGUCAAUUUCAUUUUGAAAGACAGUGGGGGUUUCAGUUUCGGUUUUCAGGGUCCAAAACAGCGAUGUAAUCGAGCCUCAAAGUGACCAUUAGAUUCAAAGCUCCAAAGGCAGCAAGGGAUUCAAAUCCCAAAGGCAUUUUGGGAUUUCAACCCCAAAGACAGCGAUGGAUUCAAACUACAAGGAGAGAGGCUUAAGGAUUUCAACCCCAAAGGCGGAUUUGAAGUUCAACCCCAAAGGCAUUGAUGAAUUUCAACACCAAAGACAGUGAUGGAUUUCAACACCAGAGAUAUUUUAGAAUUUCUACACCACAGGCAGCGAGCGAUGCAUAUAAACCCAUGCACAGGUCAAUUUGAUUGCGGAAGACGGCGGAGACAUCAGUUUCAGAUUCGCAGGCUACAAGAGAUUGAAUUUGACCCCAGAAAGAAGCGUGAGAUUCAAUUACAUAAGUAGGUUUUCAGGAUAAAAUAUUUCAACUUCAAAGACUGUGAUGGAUUCAAACCCCCAAGGCAUGGAUGGGUUUCAACACCAAAGAGCGAUGGACUUCGACACCGAAGACAUUGAUAGAUUUCAAUACCAAAGAGCAAUGGAUUUGAACCCCAAUGGCAGCGAUGGAUUUCGACCCUGAAGGCAGCGAUGGAUUUCGACUCUGAAGGCAGCGAUGGAAUUCAACCUCGAAGGUGGCGAUGAAUUUCGAACCCAAAGGCAGCGAUGAAUUUGAACCCCAAAGGCGGCGAUAUGUUCAAACCCCAAUAGCAUGGAUGGAUUUCCAUACCAAAGAGCAGAGGAUUUCAAUUCCACCGCCAGCGAUGAAUUUCAAUCUCUAAAGCAGCGAUGGCUUUCGACCACAAAAGCAUCGAUGAAUUUUGACCCUGAAGGCAUGGAUAGAUUUCAACAUCAAAGAGCAAUGGAUUUCGACCCCAAUGGCAGCGAUGGAUUUCGACCCCGAAGGCGGCCAUGAAUUUCGACCCCGAAGGCAGCGAUGGAUUUCGACCCCGAAGCGGCGAUGGAUUUCGACCCCGAAGGCGGCGGUGGAUUUCAACUCCAUAGGCGGCGAUAUCUUCAAACCCCAAAGGCAUGGAUAGAUUUCAACACCAAAGAGCAAUGAAUUUCAACCCCAAUGGCAGCGAUGGAUUUCGACCCUGAAGGCAGCGAUGGAUUUCGACCCUGAAGGCAGCGAUGGAUUUUACCCCGAACGCAGCGAUGGAUUUCGACCCUGAAGGCGGCGAUGGAUUUAGACCCCCAAUAGCAGCGAUGGAUUUCAACUCCAUAGGCGGCGAUAUAUUCAAACCCCAAAGGCAUGGAUAGAUUUCAACACCAAAGCGCAAUGUAUUUCAACCCCAAUGGCAGUGAUGGAUUUCGACACUGAAGGCAUUGAUAGAUUUCAAUAACAAAGAGCAAUAGAUUUCAACCCCAAAGGCAGCGAUGGAUUUCGACCCUGAAGGCAGCGAUGGAUUUCGACCUUGAAGGCAGCGAUGGAAUUCAACCCCAAAGGUGGCGAUGAAUUUCGAACCCAAAGGCAGCGAUGAAUUUGAACCACAAAGGCGGCGAUAUAUUCAAACCCCAAUAGCAUGGAUUGAGUUCAACACCAAAGAGCAAUGGGUUUCAACCCGAAUGGCAGCGAUGGAUUUCCAUCCCGAAGGCAUGGAUAGAUUUCAACACCAAAGAGCAACGGAUUUCAACCCUAAUGGCAGCGAUGGAUUUCGACCCUGAAGGCAGCGAUGGAUUUUGACCCCUAAGGCAGCGUUGGAUUUCGACCCCGAAGGCGGCGAUGGAUUUAGACCCCCAAUAGCAGCGAUGGAUUUCAACUCCAGAGGCGGCGAUAUAUUCAAACUCCAAAGUCAUGGAUAGAUUUCAACACCAAAGAGCAAUGGAUUUCAACCCCAAUGGCAGCGAUGAAUUUCGACCCUGAAGGCAGCGAUGGAUUUUACCCCGAAAGCAGCGAUGGAUUUCGACCCCAUAAACUGCGAUGGAUUUCAACCCCAUAAACUGCGUUGGAUUUCAACCCCAUAAAUUGCGAUGGAUUUCGACUCCAAAAGCAGCGGUGGAUUUCGACUCCGAAGGCAGAGAUGAAUUUCAAUCCCAAGGGCAUUUUAGGAAUUCAACCCCAAAGGCAGUGAUGGAUUUAAAUUCCGAAGAGAGAGGUCAAUUUAUUUUGAAAGACACGGGUUCUCAGAUCCGUUUUUCAGGGUCCAAGACAGCAAUGAAAUUGAGCCCCAAAGGCACCAAUAGAUCCAAAACUCCAAAGGCAGCGAUGGAUUUCAAUCCAAAAGGCAUUUUAGGAUUUGAACCUCAAAGCAGCGAUGGAUUCAAACGCCUAGGAGAUUCAUUUCCAAGAGUGGGUUUUCUGGCUCCAGGAUUUCAACCCCAAAGGCAGAAUAUAAUUUCAACUCCAAAGACAUUUAAGGAUUUCUACACUACAGGCAGCAAUGCAUAUAAAACUCAAGGACAGAGGUCAAUUUCAUUGCGAAAGACAGUGGGGACAUCAGUUUCAGAUUCCCAGGCUACUAGACAUUGAUGAAUUUGACCCCAGAAGGAAGUAUGAGAUUCAAUUACAUAAGCAGGUUUUCAUCCUAGAGGAUUUCAACUUCGAAGGCGGCGAUGGAUUCAAACCCCCCAAAGGUAUGGAUAGAUUUCAUCCCCAAAGGCAGCGAUGAAUAUCAACCCCAAAGGCGGCGAUAUUAUAAAACCCCCAAGGCAUGGAUGGAUUUCAAUACCACAGAGCAAUGGUUUUCAACCCUAAUGGAAACAGUGGAUUUGAACCCCAAUGGCAGCGAUAGAUUUCAACCCCAAAAGCGGCGAUGAAUUUCAACCCCAAAAGCGGCGAUGAAUUUCAACCCCAAAGGCGGCGGUGGAUUUCAAUCCCAAAGGCUGCGGUGGGUUUCAACCCCAAUGGCAGCAAUGGAUUUGAACCCCAAUGGCAGCGAUAGAUUUCAACCCUAUGGCAGUGAUGGAUUUCAACCACAAAGGCGGCGAUGGAUUUCAAUCCCAAUGACAUGCAGCGAUGGUUUCAACCUCAACAGCAGCGAUGCAUUUCAACUUCAUUGAAUCUUCAAACCCUAAGGCCAGAGGUCAAUAUCAAAAGACUGCGAAGGGUUUCAGUUCCAGAUUUCUUGGUCCAAGGCAGCGAUAACUGAAACCCCCAAUACUAUCCAUGAUAAUUAUAAGAAUUUUUACAAUAAAUUUUAUUGAAAAUUGAGCUUUGCUACAUGGUAGCUCUUGUCAUUUACUGGUACCAGUAACUGAUGAAGCUAACGUGAAAAUUUUACAAUCGUUAUCAUGGAAACUAUUAUUAAUUUUCAUCAAAUGAAGGGUUGGAGUAUUCAUAAUUAUCAACCCUGAAGAAAAGAGUAGCUCGUAAAAGCAGCAGAUAAUUAUUUUUCUCUAAAGACAGUGAUAGAUGUCAACCUCAAAGAAAGCGAUGAAUUUCAACUCCAAAGGCGACAAUGGAUUCCAACCUUGAAGGCAUAGGAUUCAAACCCCAAAGGCAGAUAUUCCAACCUCAAGAAAUGGAUUUCAACCCAAAAGUCACCAAUUGAUUUCACCCCAUAUUUUCUGACACAAAGGCAGAUAUGAAGUUGAACUCCAAAGGCAUCGAUGUAUUCAAAUUAAAAAAGUAGACAGGAUUUAAGCCUCAAAGUUACCGAUGAAUAUGGGUAUUCUAGUCCAAGGACGAUAGACCUUGCCCCAAACAGUGGAUUCGAAUCUCAAAAGCAGAGAUGGGUUUCAACUCCUAAGGCAGAGAUGGAUUCCAAAACCAAGGGCAGAGAUGGAUUUCAACUUCGACAGAGAUGGGUUUCAAUUUCAACGGCAGCGAAGAAUUUCAAUCCCAAAGGCGGCGAUGGAUUUUGACACCAAAGGCAGCGAUGAAUUUGAACCCCAAAGGCAGCGAUAUAUUUUCAACACCAAAGAGCAAUGGAUUUCAACCCCAAAAACUGCGAUGGAUUUCGACUCCAUAGGCAGCGGUGGAUUUCAAUCCCAAGGGCAUUUUAGGAUUUCAAUCCCAAAGGCAGUGAUGGAUUUAAACCCCGGUCCUAGACAGCGAUUAAAUUGAGCCCCAAAGGAAGCAAUAGAUCUAAAACUCCAGAAGCAGCAAGGGAUUCAAAACUCCAAAGGCAGCGAUGUAUUUCAAUCCCAAAGGCAUUUUAGGAUUUCAACCCCAAAGCAGCAAUGGAUUCAAACCCCAGAAGAUUCAUUUUCAAGAGUGGGUUUUCAGGCUCAAGGAUUUUAAUUCCGAAGGCAUUCGAAGUUCAACCACAAAGGCAUAGAUGAAUUUCAAUACCAAAGACAGUGAUGGAUUUCAACCUCAUAUACAUUUUAUGGUUUCUUCACCACAGGCCGCAAUGCAUAUAAAACCCAUGGACAGAGAGAGGUCAAUUUCAUUGCCAAAGACAAUGGAGAUAUCAGUUUCAGAUUCUCUGGCUGCAAGACAUUGAUGAAUUUGACCCCAGAAGGAAGCGUAAGAUUCAAUUACAUAAGCAGGUUUUCAGGCUAGAAGAUUUCAACUUCAAACACGGUGAUGGAUCCAAACCCCCAAGGCAUGGAUGGAUUUCAACACCAAAGAGCAAUGGAAUUCAACCACAAUGACAGCGAUUUCGACCCUGAAGGCGGAGAUGUACUUCAACCCCAAAGCUGGCGAUGAAUCUCAACACCAGAGGCGGCGGUGGAUUUCAAUCCCAAGGACAUUUUAGGAUUUUAUUUCCAAUGGCAGUGAUAGAUUUAAACCCGGAAGAGAGAGGUCAAUUUCAUUUUGAAAGACACUGGGGAUUUCAGUUCCGGUUUUCAGGGUCCAAGACAGUCAAGAAAUUGAGCCCCAAAGGAACCAAUAGAUCCAAAACUCCAAAAGCAGCAAGGGAUUCAAAACUCCAAAGCAGCGAUGGAAUCAAACCCCAGAAGAUUCAUUUCCAAGAGUGGGUUUUCAGGCUAAAGGAUUUCAACCCCAAAGGCAUACAAAGUUCAAACACAAAGGCAUUGAUGAAUUUCAAUACCAAAGACAGUGAUAGUUUUGAUGGAUUUUGAACCUCAAAGACAUUUUAGGGUUUUUACACCACAGGUCACAAUGCAUAUAAAACCCAAAGACAGAGGUCAAUUUCUUUGCGAUAGACAGUGGAGAUAUCAGUUUUACAUUCUCUCGCUACAAGACAUUGAUGAUUUUGACCCCAGAAGGAAGCGUAAGAUUCAAUUACAUAAGCAGAUUUGCAGACUAGAAGAUUUCAACUUCAAAGGCGGCGAUGGGUCCAAACCCCCUAAGGCAUGGAUGGAUUUCAACACCAAAGAGCAAUGGAUUUCAACCCCAAUGGCAGCGAUGGAUUUCGUCCCCAAGGGCGGCAAUGGAUUUCAACCCCAAAGGCGGCGAUGGAUUUCAACCCCAAAGGCGCCAAUGGAUUUCAACACCAAAGGCAGUGAUGGAUUUAGACCACAAAGGCAGUGAUGAAUUUCAACCCCAAUGGCAGCCGAUGGAUUUCGACCCCGAAGGCGGCGAUGGAUUUCAACCCCAAAGGUGGCGAUGGAUCUCAACACCAGAGGCGGCGAUGGAUUUCAACUCCAUAGGCAGCGGUGGAUUUCAAUCCCAAGGACAUUUUAGGAUAUCAACUCCAAAGGCAGUGAUGAAUUUAAACUCCGAAGAGAGAGGUCAAUUUCGUUUUGAAAGACAGUGGGAAUUACAGUUCAGGUUUUCAGGGUCCAAGACAGUGAUGAAAUUGAGCCCGAAAGGAACCAAUAGAUCCAAAACUCCAGAAGCAGCAAUGGAUUCAAAACUCCAAAGGCAGCGAUGGAUUUCAAUCGCAAAGGCAUUUUAGGAAUUCAACCCCAAAGCAGCGAUGGAUUCAAACCCCAGAAGAUUCAUUUGCAAGAGUGGGUUUUCAGGUUCAAGGAUUUCAACCCCAAAGGCAUUCGGUAUUCAAUCACAAGACAUGGAUUUCAACCUCAAGACAUUUUAGGGUUUCUACACCACAGGCAGCAAUGCAUAUAAAACCCAAGGACAGAGGUCAGUUUCAUCGCGAAAGACAGUGGAGAUAUCAGUUUCAGAUUCUCUGACUACAAGACAUUGAUGAAUUUGACUUCAGAAGGAAGCUUAAGAUUCAAUUACAUAAGCAGGUUUUCAGGCUAGAUGAUUUCAACUUCAGAAACUGCGAUGGAUCCAAACCCCCAAGGCAUGGAUGAAUUUCAACACCAAAGCGCAAUGGAUAGCAGCGAUGAAUUUCAACCUCAAAAGCGGCGAUGGAUUUAGACCCCGAAGGCAGCGAUGAAUUUCAACUCCCAAGGCGGCGAUAUAUUCAAACCUCAAAGGCAUGGAUAGAUUUCAACACCAAAGCGCAAUGGAUUUCUACCCCAAUGGCAACCAUGGAUUUCGACACUGAAGGCAUUGAUAGAUUUCAAUACAAAAGAGCAAUGGAUUUCAACCUCAAUGGCAGCGAUGGAUUUCGACCCUGAAGGCAGCGAUGGAAUUCAACCCCAAAGGUGGCGAUGAAUUUCGAACCCACAGGCAGCGAUGAAUUUGAACCCCAAAGGCGGCGAUAUAUUCAAACCCCAAUAGCAUGGAUUGUGUUGGACACCAAAGAGCAAUGGAUUUCAACCCUAAUGGCAGCGAUGGCUUUCCAUCCCGAAGGCAUGGAUAGAUUUCAACACCAAAGAGCAACGGAUUUCAACUCCAAUGGCAGUGAUGAAUUUGGACCCUGAAGGCAGCGAUGGAUUUUGACGCCUAAGGCAGCGAUGGAUUUCGACCCCGAAGGCGGCGAUGGAUUUAGACCCCCAAUAGCAGUGAUGGAUUUCAACUCCAUAGGCGGAGAUAUGUUCAAACCCCAAAAGCAUGUAUAGAUUUCAACACCAAAGAGCAAUGGAUUUCAAACCCCAAUGGCAGCGAUGAAUUUCGACCCUGAAGGCAGCGAUGGAUUGCGACCCCGAAGGCGGCGAUGAAUCCCAAGGGCAUUUUAGGAUUUCAACCCCAAAGGCAGUGAUGGAUUUAAACUCCGAAAAGAUUGGUCAAUUUCAUUUUGAAAGACACUGGGGUUUUCAGAUCCGGUUUUCAGGGUCCAUGACGACGAUGAAAUUGAGCCCCAAAGGCACCAAUAGAUCCAAAACUCCAAAGGCAGCGAUGGAUUUCAAUCCAAAAGGCAAUUUAGGAUUUGAACCUCAAAGCAGCGAUGGAUUCAAACGCCUAGGAGAUUCAUUUCCAAGAGUGGGUUUUCAGGUUCCAGGAUUUCAACCUCAAAGGCAGAAUAGAAUUUCAACCCCAAAGACAUUUAAGCAUUUCUACACUAAAGACAGCAAUGUAUAUAAAACCCAAUGACAGAGGUGAAUUUCAUUGCGAAAGACAGUAGGGAUAUCAGUUUCAGAUUCCCAAGCUACUAGACAUUGAUGAAUUUGACCCCAGAAGGAAGUAUGAGAUUCAGUUACAUAAGCAGGUUUUCAGCCUAGAGGAUUUCAACUCCAAAGGCGGCGAUGGAUUUCAACCCCAAAGGCGGCGAUAUUAUAAAACCCCUAAGGCAUGGAUGGAUUUCAUUACCAACGAUCAAUGGAUUUCAACCCCAAUGGGAGCAAUGGAUUUCAACCCCAAUGGCGGUGAUGGAUUUUGAUCCCAAAAGCGGCGAUGAAUUUCAACCCCAAAGGCGGCGGUGGAUUUCAACCCCAAUGACAGCGAUGGAUUUCACCCCCAAUGGCAGUGAUGGAUUUCAACCAAAAAGGCGGUGAUGGAUUUUGAUCUCAAAGGCAAUGAUGGAUUUCGACUCCAAAGGCAACGAUGGAUUUCAAUCCCAAAAACUGUCAUGGAUUUCAACUCCAAAGGCAAAAUAUUUCAGUUCCAGAUUUUUUGGUCAAUGGCAUUGAUGGAUUUUAACGAUGGUUUUCAAUCCCAAUAACAUGCAGCGAUGGUUUCAACAUCAACAGCAGCGAUGAAUUUUAACUUCAUUGAAUCUUCAAACCCUAAGGCCACAGGUCAAUUUCAAAAGGCUGCAAAGGGUUUCAGUUCCAGAUUUCUGGGUCCGAGCAGCGAUAACUGAAACCCCAAAUACUAUCCAUGAUAAUUAUAAGAAUUUUCACAAUAAAUUUUAAUAAAAAUGAGCUUCGCUACAAGGUAGCUCUUGUCAUUUAUUGGUACAAUUAACUGAUGAAGCCAACGUGAAAAUGUUAUAAUCGUUAUCAUGGAAAGUAUUAUUAAUUUUCAUCAAAUAAAGGGUCGGAGUAUUCAUAAUUUUCAACCCUGAAGAAAAGAGUAGCUCAUAAAAGCAGCAAAUAAUUAUUUUCCUCUAAUGGCAGUGAUAGAUGUCAACCUCAAAGAUAGCGAUGAAUUUCGACUCCAAAGGCGACAAUGGAUUCCAACCUUGAAGGCAUAGGAUUCAAACCCCAAAGGCAUCGAUGUAUUGAAAUUAAAAAGUUAGACAGAUUUAAGCCUCAAAGUCACCAAUGAAUUUGGGUAUUCUAGUCCAAGGACGAUAGACCUCGCCCCAAACAGUGGAUUUGAAUCCCAAAAGCAGAGAUGGGUUUCAACUCCUAAGGCAGAGAUGGAUUCCAAAACCAAUGGCAGAGCUGGAUUUCAACUUCGACAGAGAUGGAUUUCAAUUUCGAAGGCAGCGAUGAAUUUCAAUCCCAAAGGCGGCGAUAUAUUUUCAACACCAAAGAGCAAUGGAUUUCAACCCCAAUGGCAGCGAUGGAUUUCAACCCCGAAGGCGGCGAUGGAUUUCAACCCCAAAGGUGGCGAUGGAUUUCAACCCCAAAAACUACGAUGGAUUUCGACUCCAUAGGCAACGGUGGAUUUCAAUCCCAAGGGCAUUUUAGGAUUUCAAUCCCAAAGGCAGUGAUGGAUUUCAAUCCCAAAGGCAGUGAUGGAUUUAAACCCCGAAGAUAAAGGUCAAUUUCAUUUUGAAAGACAGUGGGAAUUUCAGUUCCGGUUUUCAGGGUCCUAGACAGCGGUUAAAUUGAACCCCAAAGGAACCAAUAGAUCCAAAACUCCAAAAGCAGCAAGGGAUUCAAAACUUCAAAGGCAGCGAUGUAUUUCAAUCCCAAAGGCAUUUUAGGAUUUCAACCCCAAAGCAGCGAUGGAUUCAAACCUCAGGAGAUUCAUUUCCAAUAGUGGGUUUUCAGGCUCAAGGAUUUCAACACCAAAGGCAUUCGAAGUUCAACCACAAAGGCGUAGAUGAAUUUCAAUACCAAAGACAGUGAUGGAUUUCAACCUCAAAUACAUUUUAGGGUUUCUACACCACAGGCCGCGAUGGAUAUAAAACCCAUGGACAGAGGUCAAUUUCAUUGCCAGAGACAAUGGAGAUAUCAGUUUCAGAUUCUCUGGCUACAAGACAUUGAUAAAUUUGAUCCCAGAAGGAAGCGUAAGAUUCAAUUACAUAAGCAGGCUAGAAGAUUUCAACUUCAAAGACGGUGAUGGAUCCAAACCCCCAAGGCAUGGAUGGAUUUCAACACCAAAGAGCAAUGGAUUUCAACCACAAUGACAGCGAUGGAUUUCGACCCCAAAGGCGCCGAUGGAUUUAGACCACAAAGGCAGUGAUGAAUUUCAACUCCAAAACCGGCGAUAUAUUCAAACCCCAAAGGCAUGGAUAGAUUUCAACACCAAAGAGCAAUGGAUUUCAACCCCAAUGGCAGCGAUGGAUUUCGACCCCGAAGGCGGGAAUGUACUUCAACCCCAAAGGUGGCGAUGGAUCUCAACACCAGAGGCGGCGGUGGAUUUCAAUCCCAAAGACAUUUUAGGACUUCAUUUCCAAUGGCAGUGAUGGAUUUGUACCCCGAAGAGAGAGGUCAAUUUCAUUUUGAAAGACAAUGGGGAUUUCAUUUCCGGUUUUCAGGGUCCAAGACAGUGAAGAAAUUGAGCUCCAAAGGAACCAAUAGAUCCAAAACUCCAAAAGCAGCAAGGGAUUCAAACCCCAGAAGAUUCAUUUGCAAAAGUGGGUUUUCAGACUCAAGGAUUUCAACCCCAAAGGCAUUCGAUAUCCAAUCACAAAGGCAUAGAUGAAUUUCAACACCGAAGACAUGGAUUUCAACAUCAAAGACAUUUUAGGGUUUCUACACCACAGGCAGCAAUGCAUAUAAAACCCAAGGACAGACAUCAAUUUCAUAGCGAAAGACAGUGGAGAUAUCAGUUUCAGAUUCUCUGGCUACAAGACAUUGAUGAAUUUGACUUCAGAAGGAAGCGUAAGUUUCAAUUACAUAAGCAGGUUUUCAGGCUAGAUGAUUUCAACUUCAAAGACGGCGAUGGAUCCAAACCCCCAAGGCAUGGAUGAAUUUCAACACCAAAGCGCAAUGGAUGGCAGCGAUGAAUUUCAACCCCAAGAGCGGCGUUGGCAUUAGACCCCGAAGGUAGCGAUGAAUUUCAACUCCUAAGGCGGAGAUAUAUUCAAACCCCAAAGGUAUGGAUAGAUUUCAACACCAAAGAGCAAUGGAUUUUUACUCCAAUGGCAGCGAUGGAUUUCGACCCUCAAGACAGCGAUGGAUUUCGACCCCGAAGGCAGCGAUGGAUUUCGACCCCGAAGGCAGCGAUGGAUUUCGACCCCGAAGGCGGCGAUGGAUUUUGAACCCGAAGGCGGCGAUGGAUUUCAACCCCAAAGGCGGCGGUGGAUUUUACCCCAAAGGCGGUGGUGGAUUUUAACCCCAAAGGCGGUGGUGGAUUUCGACUACGAAGGUGGCAAUGGAUUUCGACUCCAAAGGCAGCCAUGGAUUUCAACCUCAAUGGCAUAGAUGGAUUUCAACCACAAAGGCGGCGAUGGAUUUCAACCACAAAGACGGCAGUGGAUUUCAACCACAAAGGCGGCAGUGGAUUUCAACCACAAAGGCGGCGGUGGAUUUCGAUCUAACAGGCAACAAUGGAUUUCAACUCCAAAAGCGGCGAUGGAUGUCAACCCCAAAAACUACGAUGGAUUUCGACUCCAAAGAACAGCAGCGAUGGAUUUUAACUCCAUUGAAUCUUCAAACCCUAAGGCAGAGGUCAAUUGCAAAAGGCCGCGAAGGGUUUCAGUUCCAAAUUUCUUGGUCUAACUGAAACCCUAAAUACUAUUCAUGAUAAUUUUAAGAAUUUUCACAAUUGAUUUUAUUAAAAUGGCGCUUCGCUACACAGUAACUCUAUCAGUAACUGAUCAAGCUAACGUGAAAGUUUUAUAAUCAUUAUCAUGGAAAGUACUAUUUUUUUUUUCAUCAAAUAAAGGGUCAGAGUAUUCAUAAUUUUCAACUCCAAAAAAAGGAGUAACUCGUAAAAGCAGCAAAGGAUUAUUUUCCUCCAAAGGCAGCGAUGAAUUUCAACUCCAAAGGCGACGAUGGAUCCAACCUCAUAAAAUGGAUUUCAACCCAAAAGUCACCAAUUGAUUUCAACCCAUAUUUUCUGGUAUAAAGGCAGAGAUGAAUUUAAAACUCCAAAGGCAGAGAUGGCUUCUAACCCCGAGGACAGAUAUGGAUUCCAACUCCAAGGGCAGAGAUGGAUUCCAACUCCAAGGGCAGAGAUGGAUUCCAACCUCAAGGGCAGAGAUGGAUUUCAACUUGUCAGAGAUGGAUUUCAACUCCAUCGACAGAGAUGAAUUCAAAUCCAACGACACAGAUGGAUUCCAACCCCUAAAGCAGAGAUAGAUUUCAACUUCAAGGACAGAGAUCAGAGAUGAAUUUAAAGUACAAUGACAGAUAUAGAUUCCAACGAAAUGGAUUCCAACCAAGGCGGAAAAACAUUCUAUGCCAAAGACAGAUGGAUUCCAACCUCAAAGGGAGGUUCAAAAGGUGAUGAGUUUUGUUUGAUGAGAGUAGAGUCUCGUGGGGAUUAUUUAGAGUCAUGUAUUCUGUCAAUGCUAGCUGUUUCCAAAAGUGAUGAUGAAUUUGGAAUCAGUGGAAUUGAAAAUCAGAAUUAUAUCGGCAACAGCAACUGUGGGUUCAAAACUCCAAGGGCAGUGACGGAUUCAAAACUCCAAAGGCAGCAAUGCAUUUAAUACCCAAGGACAGAGUUCAAUUCCAUUUCAAAAGAGAAUGGGGAUAUCGGUUCCAUAUAUUCAGGGUACAAGGCAACAAAGACUUCGAACCCAAAAUGAAGCGCUAGAUUCAAAUCCAUGAGCAGGUUUUCAGCCUCUAAGGAUGGAUUUUCAACUGCAAAGGCGGCAAUGGAUAUCAACCCUAAUUACGCGGUGGACUUCAACCACAAUAGAGAUGCAUUUCAACCCCAAAGGCAGCGAUGGAUUUUUAAAUUUGAAGGCGGCGAUGGAUUCCAACUUUGAUGGCAGAGAAGGAUUCCAACCUCAAAGUGAGAGAUCGAUUUGAAAUCCAAAGGCAGCAAUGGAUCUCAGGUCUAGUUUUUACGGUAGAAGCCAACAUGUGAUUCAAAAUUCAAGGAAUUCAAUGGAUUAAAUCUCUGAAGGCAGUGGAUUUCAACCCCAAUUGGUUUUAACCCUGAAAGCUGCAAUAAAUUUCUGGACUUUAUUUUCUGGCACAAAGACAGAGAUGGAGUUGAACUCCAAAAGCAUUGAUGUAUUCAAAUCAAAAGGGUAGACAGAUUCGAGCCUCAAUGCCACCGAUGAAUUUGGGUAUUCUAGUCCAAGGAUGAUAGACCCUACCCCAAAGACAGUAUUGAAUUCCAAACCCAAAAGCAGAUAUGGAUUUUAAUCCCUAAGACAUGUAUGUAUUUAAACUUCAAAGGCAGAGAUGGAUUCUAAUCCCAACGACAGAGAUGGAUUCCAACUCCAAAGGCAGAGAUGGACUUGUACCCCAAAGAAGGCAUUUAAUUUCAAUCAUAGUGAAUUUCAAAUCCAAAUUUUCACUACCAAAGACAGAUGGAGUUUAACCGCAGAGGUUUCAAAUCCAAAAAGUGGAAUUCAAUACUUAAAGCCAACAGUGGAUUCAGAUAUCAAAGAAGAUGGAGCUUACCCUAAAGUUGGAGAUGGAUUUUUACUUAAGGCAGAGAUUGAUUCAAACCCAAAAGGCAGCAGUGGAUUUCAGGUGUUCGGGUUUUCAGACUCCUAAAGCAGUGAUGGAUUUUUAACCCCAAAGGCUGAAAUGGAUUUCAUACCGGUAGGUAGAGAGAUUCAGGCCCCAAAGUGGAUAUGGAUUUCAACUUCGAAGGCAGAUAUGGAUUUAGAUAGGCAUGGAUCCCAAUUACAAGGAAGAGAUGGAAAUGAAUCUCAAAGACAGCAAUAGAUCUCGGAUGCAGAUUGUCAGGUUCAAAAGCAUCAGUGGAUUCCAACCCCAAAGGUAACAAUAAAUUUCUGGUCCCUACUUUCUGGUCCAAAGGUUCAACAUCAAAGGCAUCGAUUCAUUCAAAUCAUAAAGGAAGACAGAUUAAAGCCAAUGAUGGAUUACGGUGUUCUAGUCCAAAGAAAAUGGACCUCACUACACAGGCAGUGAUGAAUUUCAUUCAGUCCAAAAGGUGGAGAUGGAUUUUGACCCCAAAGGCAGAAAUGGACUUCAACUCCAAUGACUUCAAUGACAAGAAGAUUCCAACUUCAAAGGAAGAUACAAUAGGUACAAUACGUUGUGUUUGGGAUUUGGUGUCUUGUGAAGAUCAUUUAGAGUGAUGUAUUCUGUCAAAGGUACCUUUUUCCAAAAGUGAUAAUAAAUUUGGAAUCAAUGGAUUUGGGAUUCAGAAUUAUAGUGGCACUAGCAACCAUGGGUUUUAAUAGAUCUUAACUCCAACUGCAGUGAUAAAAUUCACUUACACUUGAAGUUUAUAUUUACUUGGAUUGGAAUAUAAACAAAUGGUGUUAGCGAUAUAUUUCAGCCUCAUGGCCAUGGUUUUCUUCUCCAAAUUUCAAUUGCAAAUAUGCAUUUCAACCUCACUGGCAGGGAUGGAUUUCAACCCCGAAGGCAGUGAUGGAUUUCAACCCCAAGGACAGGAGUCAAUUUUAUUCCCAAAGACAAGAUGGAUUUCAAGUUCCAGGUUUCAGCUUAGCAGGUCCAAAGUCAAAGAUGGAUAUAUACUCCAGAAGUAGAGGGCUUCAGAUUCAAAGGCAGCAAUGUUUGAAACCAACUCCAAAGGCAGACAUUUCAAUCCCAAAGAAUGAAUUAUGGAUUCCAACUCC